rnacentral:rRNA from 1 species
UACGAAGGGGGCUAGCGUUGCUCGGAAUCACUGGGCGUAAAGCGCACGUAGGCGGCUUUCUAAGUCAGGGGUGAAAUCCUGGAGCUCAACUCCAGAACUGCCUUUGAUACUGGAGAGCUUGAGUCUGGGAGAGGUGAGUGGAAUUCCUGGUGUAGCGGUGAAAUGCGCAGAUAUCAGGAGGAACACCAAUGGCGAAGGCAGCUCGCUGGAACGGUACUGACGCUGAGGCGCGAAAGCGUGGGGAGCGAACAGG